rnacentral:rRNA from 1 species
AUUGAACGCUGGCGGCAGGCCUAACACAUGCAAGUCGAGCGCGAAAGGCCUUCGGGCUGAGUAGAGCGGCGGACGGGUGAGUAACGCGUAGGAAUCUACCUGGUAGUGGGGGACAACUUGGGGAAACCCAAGCUAAUACCGCAUACGCCCUACGGGGGAAAGCGGGGGACCUUCGGGCCUCGCGCUAUCAGAUGAGCCUGCGUAGGAUUAGCUUGUUGGUGAGGUAAAGGCUCACCAAGGCGACGAUCCUUAGCUGGUCUGAGAGGAUGAUCAGCCACACUGGAACUGAGACACGGUCCAGACUCCUACGGGAGGCAGCAGUGGGGAAUAUUGCGCAAUGGGCGAAAGCCUGACGCAGCCAUGCCGCGUGUGGAAGAAGGCCUUCGGGUUGUAAAGCACUUUCAAUUGGGAAGAAAGG